rnacentral:rRNA from 1 species
UACGGAGGGUGCAAGCAUUAAUCGGAUUUAUUGGGCGUAAAGGGCGCGUAGGCGGGGAAACAAGUCAGAUGUGAAAUCCUGGGGCUCAACCUCAGAACUGCAUUUGAAACUGUAUCUCUAGAGGGUAGGAGGAGAAAACGGAAUUCCACAAGUAGCGGUGAAAUGCGUAGAUAUGUGGAAGAACACCGGUGGCGAAGGCGGUUUUCUAUCUUAUUCCUGACGCUGAGGCGCGAAAGCAAGGGGAUCAAACAGG